rnacentral:rRNA from 1 species
UACGUAGGGUGCAAGCGUUAAUCGGAAUUACUGGGCGUAAAGCGUGCGCAGGCGGUUUUGUAAGUCUGUCGUGAAAUCCCCGGGCUCAACCUGGGAAUGGCGAUGGAUACUGGCGAGCUAGAGUGUGUCAGAGGAUGGUGGAAUUCCCGGUGUAGCGGUGAAAUGCGUAGAGAUCAGGAGGAACAUCAGUGGCGAAGGCGGCCAUCUGGGACAACACUGACGCUGAAGCACGAAAGCGUGGGGAGCAAACAGG